UACGUAGGGUGCGAGCGUUAAUCGGAAUUACUGGGCGUAAAGCGUGCGCAGGCGGUUCGUCGUGUCUGAUGUGAAAGCCCCGGGCUCAACCUGGGAAUGGCAUUGGAAACUGGCGGACUAGAGUGUGGCAGAGGGGGGUGGAAUUCCGCGUGUAGCAGUGAAAUGCGUAGAGAUGCGGAGGAACACCGAUGGCGAAGGCAAUCCCCUGGACCUGUACUGACGCUCAUGCACGAAAGCGUGGGGAGCAAACAGG
rnacentral:rRNA from 1 species